CAGAAAAGUUUCAUCAUUAUUCGGAAUGUGCUAAUGGUAUACAGCAAAAUUAAAUUUCAAUAAGUAAUAUUUUUGUCAAAAAUUAGUGCUAUUUUGUAGAUAAGCAUAUUUCUAAUGGCAUCAAAUUUCACAAACUUUUUCUUCGGACCUGGAAUAAGUACUAAAGCCAACAAUAAAGCCAAAAAAUUAUUCAUUCAUACUAAAGUAAAGUUACAACCUUUGUACUACCCAAUGAUAACAAGUAAUAUAUAAAACUGGUUAAUGAAUUUAAUAAUAAUUUUGUUCAGAGAAAUAAUUUUUCGAGGAAACAGGUCUGUUUAGUCUAAUAGAAAAGCAUUUUAUCAGAGGAUGCAUUUUUUGUUGACUCAGAAUGAAAGCAUAUCAUAAAGUAUAAUAUGUAUAAACGUAACGAAUUAAUUUUCAUUGUCCAAAAAACAAAAACAAAACAAAACAAAAAAACAAUAUAAAUGUGUAUUAAAGAUAUGAAGAACAUUAGAAUUUAUUUUCUCACUCAUUUUCACAAACAUUCUUAUAUAUCUUGGAAGAAAAUCAAAAGUUCUAUCAUAAAUACAAGACAAUUUGUGAAAUAAUAUAAUUCACAUAAGACUUUAUUCCAACAUGUAUAUCGGUUUAAAAUGAUUAACAGAGAUAUGUGUUGCAAAUUCCACAUC